CCUACGGGAGGCAGCAGUAGGGAAUAUUGCUCAAUGGGGGAAACCCUGAAGCAGCAACGCCGCGUGGAGGAUGAAGGUUUUCGGAUUGUAAACUCCUUUUGUUAGAGAAGAUAAUGACGGUAUCUAACGAAUAAGCACCGGCUAACUCCGUGGCAGCAGCCGCGGUAAUACGGGGGGUGCAAGCGUUACUCGGAAUCACUGGGCGAAAGGAGCGCGUCGGCGGGAUAGGAAGUCAGAUGUGAAAUCCUGUGGCUAAACCAUAGAACUGCAUUUGAAACUGUUAUUCUAGAGGAUGGGAGAGGUAGGUGGAAUUCUUGGGGUAGGGGUAAAAUC
rnacentral:rRNA from 1 species